AUUGAACGCUGGCGGCAUGCCUUACACAUGCAAGUCGAACGGCAGCACGGGAGCAAUCCUGGUGGCGAGUGGCGAACGGGUGAGUAAUAUAUCGGAACGUGCCCAGUCGUGGGGAUAACGUAGCGAAAGCUACGCUAAUACCGCAUACUAUCUAUGGAUGAAAGCGGGGGAUCGCAAGACCUCGCGCGAUUGGAGCGGCCGAUAUCAGAUUAGGUAGUUGGUGAGGUAAAGGCUCACCAAGCCGACGAUCUGUAGCUGGUCUGAGAGGACGACCAGCCACACUGGGACUGAGACACGGCCCAGACUCCUACGGGAGGCAGCAGUGGGGAAUUUUGGACAAUGGGCGCAAGCCUGAUCCAGCAAUGCCGCGUGCAGGAUGAAGGCC
rnacentral:rRNA from 1 species